GUGAAUCAUCGAAUCUUUGAACGCAAAUUGCACUCUCUUCUGAGCGGAUGCCUGUUUGAGGUUCAGCCUCAAAAAAAUCAACAAUGUUGCUGUUUUAUGGUGACUUUCGUCAGAGAUGGGUUAUCUUAAUUCUCGGUUUAAGCGACUUAAAAAUUUCUUUUACGAUUCUAAGAUUGUUUCUAAGUUUUUUCUUGUACGUUGAAGGUAUCGAUUGUCU
rnacentral:misc_RNA from 1 species